GACGAGCGCUGGCGGCGUGCUUAACACAUGCAAGUCGAACGAUGAAGAAGAGAAACGCGAACUUCGGUCCAAAUUUCACUUCGGAUUAGUGGCAGACGGGUGAGUAACGCGUGAGCAACCUACCUCUUACAAAGGGAUAGCCUCGGGAAACCGUGAUUAAUACCAUAUGACACAUUCAUAAGGCAUCUUAAGAAUGUUAAAGCUACGGCGGUAAGAGAUGGGCUCGCGUCCCAUUAGCUAGUUGGUGAGGUAACGGCCCACCAAGGCGACGAUGGGUAACCGGCCUGAGAGGGUGAACGGUCACAUUGGAACUGAGACACGGUCCAAACUCCUACGGGAGGCAGCAGUGGGGAAUAUUGCACAAUGGAGGGAACUCUGAUGCAGCGACGCCGCGUGAGCGAUGAAGGAAUUCGUUUCGUAAAGCCCUGUUCUAUGGGAAGAAAAGGACUGUACCAUAGGAGAAAGCCCCGGCUAAAUACGUG
rnacentral:rRNA from 1 species